rnacentral:rRNA from 1 species
UGGGGAAUAUUGCACAAUGGGCGCAAGCCUGAUGCAGCCAUGCCGCGUGUGUGAAGAAGGCCUUCGGGUUGUAAAGCACUUUCAGCGAGGAGGAAGGUGGUGAGCUUAAUACGCUCAUCAAUUGACGUUACUCGCAGAAGAAGCACCGGCUAACUCCGUGCCAGCAGCCGCGGUAAUACGGAGGGUGCAAGCGUUAAUCGGAAUUACUGGGCGUAAAGCGCACGCAGGCGGUUUGUUAAGUCAGAUGUGAAAUCCCCGGGCUCAACCUGGGAACUGCAUUUGAAACUGGCAAGCUAGAGUCUCGUAGAGGGGGGUAGAAUUCCAGGUGUAGCGGUGAAAUGCGUAGAGAUCUGGAGGAAUACCGGUGGCGAAGGCGGCCCCCCUGGACGAAGACUGACGCUCAGGUGCGAAAAGCGUGGGGAGCAAAACAGGAUUAGAUACCCUGGUAGUCCACGCUGUAAAACGAUGUCGAUUUUGGAGGUUGUGCCCCUUGAGGCGUGGNUUCCGGAGCUAACG